UACAUUCUGUCUAACGUUUGACACGAUCGUUCGCAUUAACCGCAGAUAAUUAUUAUCAUUUUUCCCCCGAUCGAAAGACUCAGCGACUCCGUCAACUUUUGCUGUUUGCUGUGUAUUUACGACUAUGAUGAAAUACAAAAAGAGUGACUUGAACUCAAGAUUCAACUUCAGAUUCCAAGAGACCCGCAUGAGACGGCAGCCAGCUAACAAAAUUUUUCAAUGGAAAUACAAAACUGAAACGGCAGAUACUGAGAUACUGAACUCGGGUCAGGCAAGAGGGACUGGAUCCGCAUGGACGACUACACUGAGAAAAUUCCAUAUAUUAUAUCAAUAAGAAAGGAUAAACGUGAACAAACAAACCCUAAAUUUACUUCUGUCAAGUUAAUAAAAAUGGAAUAAGAU
ensembl:ncRNA lncRNA:CR44478 long non-coding RNA:CR44478